rnacentral:rRNA from 1 species
UUUAUGGAGAGUUUGAUCCUGGCUCAGGAUGAACGCUGGCGGCGUGCCUAAUACAUGCAAGUCGAGCGAACGGACGAGAAGCUUGCUUCUCUGAUGUUAGCGGCGGACGGGUGAGUAACACGUGGAUAACCUACCUAUAAGACUGGGAUAACUUCGGGAAACCGGAGCUAAUACCGGAUAAUAUUUUGAACCGCAUGGUUCAAAAGUGAAAGACGGUCUUGCUGUCACUUAUAGAUGGAUCCGCGCUGCAUUAGCUAGUUGGUAAGGUAACGGCUUACCAAGGCAACGAUGCAUAGCCGACCUGAGAGGGUGAUCGGCCACACUGGAACUGAGACACGGUCCAGACUCCUACGGGAGGCAGCAGUAGGGAAUCUUCCGCAAUGGGCGAAAGCCUGACGGAGCAACGCCGCGUGAGUGAUGAAGGUCUUCGGAUCGUAAAACUCUGUUAUUAGGGAAGAACAUAUGUGUAAGUAACUGUGCACAUCUUGACGGUACCUAAUCAGAAAGCCACGGCUAACUACGUGCCAGCAGCCGCGGUAAUACGUAGGUGGCAAGCGUUAUCCGGAAUUAUUGGGCGUAAAGCGCGCGUAGGCGGUUUUUUAAGUCUGAUGUGAAAGCCCACGGCUCAACCGUGGAGGGUCAUUGGAAACUGGAAAACUUGAGUGCAGAAGAGGAAAGUGGAAUUCCAUGUGUAGCGGUGAAAUGCGCAGAGAUAUGGAGGAACACCAGUGGCGAAGGCGACUUUCUGGUCUGUAACUGACGCUGAUGUGCGAAAGCGUGGGGAUCAAACAGGAUUAGAUACCCUGGUAGUCCACGCCGUAAACGAUGAGUGCUAAGUGUUAGGGGGUUUCCGCCCCUUAGUGCUGCAGCUAACGCAUUAAGCACUCCGCCUGGGGAGUACGACCGCAAGGUUGAAACUCAAAGGAAUUGACGGGGACCCGCACAAGCGGUGGAGCAUGUGGUUUAAUUCGAAGCAACGCGAAGAACCUUACCAAAUCUUGACAUCCUUUGACAACUCUAGAGAUAGAGCUUUCCCCUUCGGGGGACAAAGUGACAGGUGGUGCAUGGUUGUCGUCAGCUCGUGUCGUGAGAUGUUGGGUUAAGUCCCGCAACGAGCGCAACCCUUAAGCUUAGUUGCCAUCAUUAAGUUGGGCACUCUAAGUUGACUGCCGGUGACAAACCGGAGGAAGGUGGGGAUGACGUCAAAUCAUCAUGCCCCUUAUGAUUUGGGCUACACACGUGCUACAAUGGACAAUACAAAGGGCAGCGAAACCGCGAGGUCAAGCAAAUCCCAUAAAGUUGUUCUCAGUUCGGAUUGUAGUCUGCAACUCGACUACAUGAAGCUGGAAUCGCUAGUAAUCGUAGAUCAGCAUGCUACGGUGAAUACGUUCCCGGGUCUUGUACACACCGCCCGUCACACCACGAGAGUUUGUAACACCCGAAG